GACAUUAUGUGAAACCGAUACAUGUGUAAUGUGAGACGCAAAAUCACAAUCUCUACAUAACUACCAAAACUUUUAGUAGAUACUGUAUUAUAAUAAUGGCUUAAUUAAUGAUGGAAACUAUAGCUUUAUGAUCUAUUUGACUUUAUCCUUCUGUCCGAUAAAGAUAAAUUUUCUAGGAAAAAUAUUUGUCCCACAAAGAUAGAAGUUUUAUAUUUCCAAUGCAAAUUUUAAAACUGUUUUCCCGUUUUACCCUUACUAAAUAAUUAGAUAAAUAUUUAUUAUUGUUUUUAAAGUAUAUUAAGAGGUUAAAAUUGUCUUUAUACAAUAUUUCUUAAAGAAUGUGAAAUUUCUAAAAAUUUCAUCUUAGUGGGACGGAGGGAGUAUAUGGUAUAUUUCAAAGAAAAAA
rnacentral:sRNA from 1 species